AGCAAAAAUUGUAGUGUUGAUUCGAGUUAAAUUCCCAGUGUAAAUUAUUCCGAGUGAAUGGGUGUUGAUUUGUGUGUUAUUUUAACACUUACAGUGCAGAAAAAGCUCUGAGGGGGACGUCAUUUCACGGAGUUCGGAGCAUACACUUAUUUUGAGUUACUUUCCACAUCCGGUUUUUUCGCGGUCAUUCAUUGACGAGCGGGAUUUGUCUUCACUUACCGUGGCAGUGAACUAAGCUAAACGCCCAGAAGAAAGCUGUGUGGGAUUGGGAUAUUCGUUUAAGAAGGUAAGAACCACAUUUAUCAAUUUAUAAAGGCUGUUUGUCAUUAUUUAAACCAUGUUUUAACGUUAAGUGGGUGUGAUGCAGUCGAUGUGCUUACAUGUGGAUUAAUGGAAUUUGCUUGCUAGCUAGCUAACGAGUGAUUUAGCAUUUUUUCCUUAUAUUUAUCAACUGUACUAUACUGUACUGUAAAAAUGUACGUUGCGUGUUUAAAUGUGAUACAAGUGCUUAACAUUGCAUUUACUAUGGUUCUAUGAGAGAACAUUUUGAAACAUUUUCAAAUUUAUAAAUGUAUUCUUUAACACUAAGUUAGUCCAGCCACUGUAAAACCAUAAAAUUACGUUAGUGUGUUUUAAUAUAAAAUGUGCUUAAGGUGUUAAGGGUUUCCCGCAGAAAACUUGUUAGUCAAGGUGGUUGGUCGUCCGACGGGGGGGAGGCUACCGGCGCUGUUUAGCUAGGUCGUCCGACGGGGGGGGGCUACCGGCGCUGUUUAGCUAGGUCGUCCGAGUCCGACUGGGACGCCGUAGUUAAGGCGGCAGGCUGCAAAGUGCUGCGGGAAACCGUGGUGUUAGCUAGCUAGUUCUUUGUUGCGUUGUCGACAGUUUCAAGAUGAUUUGUGCACGCCCGCGUUUGUUUUUCGUCAGUAAUGAAGGCCUGCGCCAUUAAUAUGGCAGAUAUACCGACUGCUGCAGCUAUGUUUCUGCUGUGGAAGUCCUAGAUAUGUUGGAAAAUUAAACUGCGUCACGUCUGGAUUAGUAACCUCAUCUGGUGGAACGAACCAGCCUUCUCAAGUAACGUCAAAAACAAGUUUGGGCUUCCUGAUGUAGCUCAACUUGACAUUUUUGAUGAUACUGACACAGCAGUAGAGGAAGACAUUCUUCUAGAGCUGUUGGAGGCCAAUCCAGACAUGUGCCUGACAGUAUGUGACAGCAUUUCCAAUGAAGACUUUUCUCCUCUAGAUCAUUCAACAUCAUCUUCCCUCACGGACACCAUAUCACUUCCUUCAAGUGACAGUGACCUUAGAGAACUGGGUAUGACCACAGGCAGAAAUAGAUCCAGCAAAGAAGACAUGAGCAGUUCUGCAACAAAGGCUUCCGUGUCAGAGGCGGCAAAGGAGAUUGUAGAAAAUGCCUUGCUUAAGAAGCCUGGAGGAGAGGAUGUUCUUGAG